AUGGGUCCCUAUGGGGUUCUAUGGGGUUCUAUGGGGUUCUAUGGGUCCCUAUGGGGUUCUAUGGGUCCCUAUGGGGUUCCAUGGGUCCCUAUGGGUUUCUAUGGGGUUUAAUGGGUUCCUAUGGGUCCCUAUGGGAUUCUAUGGGGUUCUAUGGGUCCCUAUGGGGUUCUAUGGGAUUCUAUGGGGUUCUAUGGGAUUCUAUGGGGUCCCUAUGGGGUUUAAUGGGUCCCUAUGGGUCCCUAUGGGGUUCUAUGGGGUUUAAUGGGUCCCUAUGGAUCCCUAUGUGUCUCUGUGGGGUUCCAUGGGUCUCUAUGGGUCCCUAUGGGGCACUUAUGGGUCACUCACCCAGCGCCAACCCCAGGUGCUCAGCCACCCCCUGCAGCUGCGCGAAGCAGACGGGCCCGUCCCGAGGGAUCCCGAGCUCCUCCAUCCUGCAUUACCAUAAAUCAGCAUAAAUUUGCAUAAAUCUCCAUUCAUCAGCAUAAAAUUUGCAUAAAUUAAGGCGGGACCUUCGCGCGGCGCCUCGGAUCGACUCCACAUUGUGCGUCGCCACCACCAGGGUCACGUGACCCGACGUCACGUGACGCAGCGCCAGCUCCAGGCACGCGGCGUAGCUACAAACCGGAAACAGGAAGUGACGUCAGCGCAUCGCCGCCAUCUUGGCGACGUUACUUCCGGCCCCUCCCCGGCUCCUCAUUGGUCCUUAGUCAUUUUAGCCCCGCCCCCCUAAGCUCCGCAUUGGUCCUUAUCCCGCUUAGCCCCGAACCCCCCCGGCACCUCAUUGGUCCUUUUUCAUGUUAGCCCCGCCCCCCAACUCCUCAUUGGUCGACAGGCUUCCCAUUGGUCCUUAUUCAUUUUAGCCCCACGUCUCCACGCUCCCCAUUGGUCCUUAUUCUUAGCCCCGCCCCCCAGGCUCCCCAUUGGUCCUUAUUCCGCUUAGUCCCUCUCUCCCCGGCACCUCAUUGGUGGUUAUUACUCUUAGCCCCGCCCCCCCAGGCACGCCAUUGGUCGUCAGGCUCCCAUUGGUCCUUAUUUCCCUUAGCCCCGCCCCUCUUUUAGCCCCGCCCCCCCACGCUCCCCAUUGGUCCUUAAACCUCUUAGCCCCGCCCCCUUCUUAGCCCAGCCCCCCUCGCUCCCCAUUGGUCCUUAUUCCCCUUAGCCCCGCCC
rnacentral:lncRNA from 1 species